rnacentral:rRNA from 1 species
GUAGGGCGGGACACGUGGUAUCCUGUCUGAAUAUGGGGGGACCAUCCUCCAAGGCUAAAUACUCCUGACUGACCGAUAGUGAACCAGUACCGUGAGGGAAAGGCGAAAAGAACCCCGGCGAGGGGAGUGAAAAAGAACCUGAAACCGUGUACGUACAAGCAGUGGGAGCACCCUUUGGGGUGUGACUGCGUACCUUUUGUAUAAUGGGUCAGCGACUUAUAUUCUGUAGCAAGGUUAACCGAAUAGGGGAGCCGGAGGGAAACCGAGUCUUAAUUGGGCGUUAAGUUGCAGGGUAUAGACCCGAAACCCGGUGAUCUAGCCAUGGGCAGGUUGAAGGUUGGGUAACACUAACUGGAGGACCGAACCGACUAAUGUUGAAAAAUUAGCGGAUGACCUGUGGCUGGGGGUGAAAGGCCAAUCAAACCGGGAGAUAGCUGGUUCUCCCCGAAAGCUAUUUAGGUAGCGCCUCGUGAAUUCAUCUCCGGGGGUAGAGCACUGUUUCGGCUAGGGGGCCAUCCCGGCUUACCAACCCGAUGCAAACUGCGAAUACCGGAGAAUGUUAUCACGGGAGACACACGGCGGGUGCUAACGUCCGUCGUGAAGAGGGAAACAACCCAGACCGCCAGCUAAGGUCCCAAAGUCAUGGUUAAGUGGGAAACGAUGUGGGAAGGCCCAGACAGCCAGGAUGUUGGCUUAGAAGCAGCCAUCAUUUAAAGAAAGCGUAAUAGCUCACUGGUCGAGUCGGCCUGCGCGGAAGAUGUAACGGGGCUAAACCAUGCACCGAAGCUGCGGCAGCGACACUCAGGUGUUGUUGGGUAGGGGAGCGUUCUGUAAGCCUGCGAAGGUGGCCUGUGAGGGUUGCUGGAGGUAUCAGAAGUGCGAAUGCUGACAUAAGUAACGAUAAAGCGGGUGAAAAGCCCGCUCGCCGGAAGACCAAGGGUUCCUGUCCAACGUUAAUCGGGGCAGGGUGAGUCGACCCCUAAGGCGAGGCCGAAAGGCGUAGUCGAUGGGAAACGGGUUAAUAUUCCCGUACUUGGUGUUACUGCGAAGGGGGGACGGAGAAGGCUAUGUUGGCCGGGCGACGGUUGUCCCGGUUUAAGCGUGUAGGUGUGUGUUCCAGGUAAAUCCGGUUCACUUUAACACUGAGGCGUGAUGACGAGGCACUACGGUGCUGAAGCAACAAAUGCCCUGCUUCCAGGAAAAGCCUCUAAGCAUCAGGUAACAUCAAAUCGUACCCCAAACCGACACAGGUGGUCAGGUAGAGAAUACCAAGGCGCUUGAGAGAACUCGGGUGAAGGAACUAGGCAAAAUGGUGCCGUAACUUCGGGAGAAGGCACGCUGACACGUAGGUGAAGUGAUUUACUCAUGGAGCUGAAGUCAGUCGAAGAUACCAGCUGGCUGCAACUGUUUAUUAAAAACACAGCACUGUGCAAACACGAAAGUGGACGUAUACGGUGUGACGCCUGCCCGGUGCCGGAAGGUUAAUUGAUGGGGUCAGCGCAAGCGAAGCUCCUGAUCGAAGCCCCGGUAAACGGCGGCCGUAACUAUAACGGUCCUAAGGUAGCGAAAUUCCUUGUCGGGUAAGUUCCGACCUGCACGAAUGGCGUAAUGAUGGCCAGGCUGUCUCCACCCGAGACUCAGUGAAAUUGAACUCGCUGUGAAGAUGCAGUGUACCCGCGGCAAGACGGAAAGACCCCGUGAACCUUUACUAUAGCUUGACACUGAACAUUGAGCCUUGAUGUGUAGGAUAGGUGGGAGGCUUUGAAGUGUGG